UAUGGUGGCUUUAGCGAGGGUGUUCCACCUCUUCCCUUUCCGAACAGAGAAGUUAAGCCCCUCAGCGCUGAUGGUACUAUCGUAACAGAUGGGAGAGUAAGUCGUUGCCAAUU
rnacentral:rRNA from 1 species